rnacentral:snRNA from 1 species
AGAAGCAGGGGAGACACCAUGAUCAACCAGGUGGUUUUCUCAGGGUGAAGGCUGUGCAUUGCAAAUGCGGCAGGCUGACCCCUGCAAGUUUGAUAAAUGUGGGAAACUUGACUGUAUAAUUUUGUGAUAAUGAGGGGCUGUUUGUUCUUUUUCCCUUG